rnacentral:misc_RNA from 1 species
GAGAAUAUACGCUUAUGGUGGACGCAAGUUUUUUAUUUCUGGAGUUGCGCCAAUUGGAUGUACUCCGUCACGAAGGGUCAGGAUCCAAUCAGAAGCUUGCAAUGAAGAAAUUAAUUCAAUGGCUGUUACGUAUAAUGAAAGGCUAAAGUCAAUGUUGCAAAAACUGAAUUCAGAGCUCAAGGGUGUUUCUUACUCCUAUUUUGAUGCCUAUGCCAUGUUGGAAAACAUCAUUCAAAAACCAGC